GAUGAACGCUAGCGGGAGGCUUAAACAUGCAAGUCGAGGGGCAGCAUAGGGUAGCAAUACUCUGAUGGCGACCGGCAAACGGGUGAGUAACGCGUAUGUAACCUACCCUGUACAGGGGGAUAACCCGGAGAAAUUCGGACUAAUAUCCCAUAACAAUAUCCGGGGGCAUCUUUGGAUAUUUAAAGUUCCGGCGGUACGGGAUGGGCAUGCGUAACAUUAGCUAGUUGGUAAGGUAACGGCUUACCAAGGCUUUGAUGUUUAGGGGUCCUGAGAGGGUGGUCCCCCACACUGGUACUGAGACACGGACCAGACUCCUACGGGAGGCAGCAGUGAGGAAUAUUGGUCAAUGGGCGCAAGCCUGAACCAGCCAUCCCGCGUGCAGGAAGACGGCGCUAUGCGUUGUAAACUGCUUUUCCAGGGAGAGAAACUUGCGCACGUGUUGCGCAAUUGACGGUACCCUGGGAAUAAGCAUCGGCUAACUCCGUG
rnacentral:rRNA from 1 species